AGCCCCGACCCGGCCCCUGGUGGACGCAGGAAGAUGGAAAGCGGCCAGUCUCUUUCCCCAGCUCCGCUCCGCGAGGGAGCGCUGGCGGGAGCCCGGGCGGGACGCCGUGUGCCCGCGACCCCAUCCCCCGCGGGCGCCCCUGUGUCCCCGUGUCCCCGCGGUGCCCCACCACCGGCGCCCCUGUGUCCCCAUGUCCCUGUGUCCCCGCGGUGCCCCACCGCCGGCGCCCCUGUGUCCCCAUGUCCCUGUGCCCGCGACCCCCGCCAGCGCCCGUGUGUUCUCAGCCUCCCCCCCCGCCCCCCCCACCGCCGGCGCCCGUGUGGACGCCCAGCGGGUACGCUCUAGACGUCUGCACCUGCCGGCGCGCAGCUUGUGUGCUGCGUCUAAAACGGUCUCGGGGCUGUUCUGGAGCCACAUCCACCUCGUCCGCAUGGCUGAGGGCAGCCUCCAGGCCGCACCCUCUGUGUCUCCCUCACCAGCGGAGCCCACGUCAGUCCUCCCUCCAGCUCCCUGCGAUUUGGGGUGCGAUUUUGGGGUGCGACCUGUCUGGCCACUGAGGAUCAUCGCUGAGGUCUGCCCUCUGACUUUCCCUGCUUCCUGCCUGGACGCCCCGCAGCCACAUUGGGGCUGCGAGGAGGGGAGCCUGGUGAAGAAGAGCUAGCCGUCCUGAAGGAGCCUGUGCUGCCCCCUGAAGCCACCUCUGUCAUGUUUUCCCCUCACUUACAAACACGUCCUGAUACAGGGCCAAGAACCCGGAGUCUACUUUCUCUUGGACCUCACAUCCCAUCCCACAGCAAGUCCUUUUGGCUCAACCUCAGAAUCCAUCCGGAACCCACCCCAUCUUCCCUCCU